AGCAGCCGCGGUAAUUCCAGCUCCAAUAGCGUAUAUUAAAGUUGUUGCAGUUAAAAAGCUCGUAGUUGAAUUUCGGGGUUAGUAGGUUGGUCAUGCCUCUGGUAUGUACUGGUCUCACUGAUUCCUCCUUCCUGAUGAACCGUAAUGCCAUUAAUUUGGUGUUGCGGGGAAUUUGGACUGUUACUUUGAAAAAAUUAGAGUGUUUAAAGCAAGCUAACGCUUGAAUACAUUAGCAUGGAAUAAUGAAAUAGGACGUUCGAUCCUAUUUUGUUGGUUUCUAGGAUUGACGUGAUGAUUAAUAGGGAUAGUUGGGGGCAUUAGUAUUCAAUUGUCAGAGGUGAAAUUCUUGGAUUUAUUGAAGACUAACUACUGCGAAAGCAUUUGCCAAGGAUGUUUUCAUUAAUCAAGAACGAAAGUUAGGGGAUCGAAGACGAUCAGAUACCGUCGUAGUCUUAACCAUAAACUAUGCCGACUAGGGAUCGGAUGAUGUUAAUUUUUUAAUGACUC
rnacentral:rRNA from 1 species